rnacentral:rRNA from 1 species
GAACACCAGUGGCGAAGGCGACUUACUGGGCCGUAACUGACGUUGAUGCGCGAAAGCGUGGGGAGCGAACAGGAUUAGAUACCCUGGUAGUCCACGCUGUAAACGAUGAGUGCUAGGUGUAGCGGGUAUCGACCCCUGCUGUGCCGGAGUUAACACAAUAAGCACUCCGCCUGGGGAGUACGGUCGCAAGACUGAAACUCAAAGGAAUUGACGGGGACCCGCACAAGCAGCGGAGCAUGUGGUUUAAUUCGAAGCAACGCGAAGAACCUUACCAAGGCUUGACAUCCCCUUGACAGAUGCAGAGAUGUAUCCUCCUCUUCGGGGGCAAGGGAGACAGGUGGUGCAUGGUUGUCGUCAGCUCGUGUCGUGAGAUGUUGGGUUAAGUCCCGCAACGAGCGCAACCCUUAUCCUUAGUUGCCAGCAUUUAAGGUGGGCACUCUAAGGAGACUGCCGGUGAUAAACCGGAGGAAGGUGGGAUGACGUCAAAUCAUCAUGCCCCUUAUGUCUUGGGCUACACACGUGCUACAAUGGNNNGUACAANGNGAAGCAAUACCGCGAGGUGGAGCNAANCNCAAAAAACNNNUCNCAGUUCGGAUUGNAGGCUGNAACUCGCCUNCAUGAAGNNG